rnacentral:rRNA from 1 species
GACGGAGGGGGCUAGCGUUGUUCGGAAUUACUGGGCGUAAAGAGCGCGUAGGCGGAUUGGUAAGUUGGAAGUGAAAUCCCGGAGCUUAACUUCGGAACUGCUUUCAAAACUGCUAGUCUUGAGUAUAGUAGGGGAUGACGGAAUUCCUAGUGUAGAGGUGAAAUUCUUAGAUAUUAGGAGGAACACCGAUGGCGAAGGCAGUCAUCUGGGCUAUAACUGACGCUGAUGCGCGAAAGCGUGGGGAGCAAACAGG